GUGGUCUGUGAACAAAAUCACAUAUACUAAAAUUGAACAAUACAGAGAAGGUUAGCAGAGCCCCUGCACAAGGAUGACACACGAAUUCAUGAAACGUUCCAUAUGUUU
ensembl:snRNA U6 U6 spliceosomal RNA